rnacentral:lncRNA from 1 species
UGGCCCGGACCUGCCCUCAGCCCCGUGCCAGGCUGAGGUCACGAGCCCGAGUCCCAUCACCAGGCACGGGGGUGAUGAGAGAGGCGGGAAGGUCUUGAGAGGCCAGGCAGCCGCUGGUGGCUUAUCCAGAUUAGGCUUUUCACGUGAAGGGGAGACAAGAAUCUGCUUUGUUGCAACUGGGGCAUCAAGCUAGAAGCACUGUUGGUGCUCCUGGCACUCCCUGGCACUCUCCAAAGCUUAUUUGUUGCUCUUCCGAGACACGUCCAGGUGCUCUCUGUUAUGAUAACAAGUGGUGACACAGAGUUAGCUUGAAAUGGGAUAAACAAACAGACUAAAAAUAACUGGAAUUAGGGCGACUUGGCACCGAAUCCAGUGUUCAGGCUGUCACUGCUCAGCCGAGGCGUGAAGAUAGGCGCCAUCAAAGGCACCCCGACCCCCGGAGCGAGGGGGAGUUGGGCUUGGGUGUGGCUGAGUCCCACUUGGGUCCCCGCUUCCACCACCGUGGAGCGGUGGGCCGCUGAGGGUGGAGGUGCCAGAUGGUGCCUGAGGCCCAGGGGAGGGGCAUGGUGGGCCCGGAUGUGAGCGAGGCGGUUUAUGUCUGUUUGCAGGAAGCCGGGCCAAUGUUUGGACAUCUUUAUGGUUUGGGGAGUUUUUUGGCCUCGCCCAGAGGAGCCAUGGUUGCAUCAGAACUGGAGGUCCUCUCCUUGGUGGCCCACGCGCUGGGAGAGAGACGCAAAGGGAGCAAGGCCUGGGUCUGAGGAAGAGGGGGGAGUCAAGGCAGACAUCACUCAAGAGCACCGAGAACAUGGUCCUUCUCAGCAGAGUGCUCUCGACAGCCAGCCAGUACUAAUCUAUCCAGGUUUGCCAUGCUGGCGAAGCUGUUGCGUGGAAAACAAAUCCUCGAGGUGCAUCUGAGAGAAUCAAGGCCCAAGAAGGUGGACUUGCCCAAGACGUGGCAGGUAAGUGCAUCUGUGAACCUACAGCCAGCUUUGGGGAGGUGUUGGGGGUGCCUUCUCAUGUUUGGAACAUACUGAAGAAGCCCCAUUCAGGGCCUAGAUGGGCCUUUCGAAGGCAUCACCUUUCUCUCCUGCUCAUCUCCCAGGAGGCCCUUGACUUUGUCCUCUCUCAGAGGUGGCCGCGUUUGUGUUCCUUUGUCUGCCUGCCUCUGUUUUGGGGGGAACAUGGCAGACUCCAACCAGGAUUCUCCAGCCCCCAUGGAAGGAAGCAGACCCACGGCCGUGUUCUUCCCUGGGGCCUGGAACCGAGCACCCUCCUUGGAAAAGGAAUUUGGGGCCACGAGCCCCUAAGAGGUGCCGUCCUCUGGAAGCAAAACCUGGUUUCCCAUCUUGGACAGAGCUGUUCUGUCCAGAGAUGCCCCAGGUGCAAGAGGGUGGGUGGGGAGGCUGUGCUGCAUCAUGGACCUUAGGUGGGGGCGCUCAGAAGCUCUCUCUCUCCCUCUCCUGUUGGUUCCCCCAUGCAGGCUGGUGGCUGGGAAUGGAAAGGACCUGCCAGUGAGGCCUGAGCUGAGUUUAGGGCUAGGGGGCCAAAUGAGCAGUGAGGUUUGUUCCUGGGCUCCGGAGGGCAGCAGGCCCCGCUGAGACCCCAGCUGUGUGUCGUAUGGCGGAGGGGGAGGUGGCUGGGCUUCGGGCAGGGGCCUGCUUGCUGGGGGACCACCUCCCCAUGGAGAGCAGAGCAGCUGGAGGUCACUUGUGAGAGGCAGAGGUCCUCCCUGGUCUCCAUCCCUCUCUCAUCCCCUCCUCUAAUUUUAUUCUUGCCGUUUUGCUUAUGACACGGAUGCAGCGAAGGCAUCAUGUGACCGGGUUGGCCAGCCCCAAACAUGACCGCCCAAGCCCAGACCCGGAGACCCUUCCCCCGCCACGCAGGCCUGUCCCAAGGGCCCUGUGCCCCUGCUUGU